GCAAGUCGAGCGCUCUCUUCGGAGGGAGCGGCGGACGGGUUAGUAACGCGUGGGAACAUACCCUUCUCUACGGAAUAGCCUCGGGAAACUGAGAGUAAUACCGUAUACGCCCUUCGGGGGAAAGAUUUAUCGGAGAAGGAUUGGCCCGCGUUAGAUUAGAUAGUUGGUGGGGUAAUGGCCUACCAAGACGAUGAUGCAUAGCCGACCUGAGAGGGUGAUC
rnacentral:rRNA from 1 species